rnacentral:rRNA from 1 species
UACAGAGGUCCCAAGCGUUGUUCGGAUUCAUUGGGCGUAAAGGGUGCGUAGGCGGCGCGGUAAGUCGGGUGUGAAAGUCUCGGAGCUUAACUCCGAAACUGCACUCGAUACUGCUUUGCUCGAGGACUGGAGAGGGGAUUGGAAUUACGGUGUAGCGGUGAAAUGGCGUAGAUAUCUGGAGGAACACCGGUGGCGAAGGCGGCAUCCUGGACCAACACUGACACUGGAGGAGCGAAAGCCAGGGGAGCAAACGGGAUUAGAAACCCCG